rnacentral:rRNA from 1 species
CGCGACCUACGGGGCGCAGCAGUGAGGAAUAUUGGUCAAUGGUCGGGAGACUGAACCAGCCAAGCCGCGUGAGGGAGGAAGGUACAGAGUAUCGUAAACCUCUUUUGUCAGGGAACAAAGGCGGGGACGUGUCCCCGGAUGAGUGUACCUGAAGAAAAAGCAUUGGCUAACUCCGUGCCAGCAGCCGCGGUAAUACGGAGGAUGCGAGCGUUAUCCGGAUUUAUUGGGUUUAAAGGGUGUGCAGGCGGUCUGUUAAGUCAGCGGUCAAAACCCGGGGCUCAACCCCGGCCCGCC